GUAAGGACAUGUGGAAUGUUUAGAAGUGAGAAUGCCGGUGUGAGUAGCGAAAGAUGGGUGAGAAUCCCAUCCACCGAUUGACUAAGGUUUCCAGAGGAAGGCUCGUCCGCUCUGGGUUAGUCGGGACCUAAGCCGAGGCCGAUAGGCGUAGGCGAUGGAUAACAGGUAGAUAUUCCUGUACCACCUAUGAUUGUUUGAACGAUGGGGGGACGCAGUAGGAUAGGCGAAGCGUGCUGUUGGAGUGCACGUCCAAGCAAUAAGACUGAGUGUUAGGCAAAUCCGGCACUCGUAAGGUUGAGUUGUGAUGGGGAGUUGGAUCAUGUAUCCGACGAGUCGUUGAUUUCACACUGCCAAGAAAAGCCUCUAGUUAGAAAAUAGGUGCCCGUACCGCAAACCGACACAGGUAGUCAAGAUGAGAAUUCUAAGGUGAGCGAGCGAACUCUCGUUAAGGAACUCGGCAAAAUGACCCCGUAACUUCGGGAGAAGGGGUGCUUUUUAGGGUGCAAGCCUUGAAGAGCCGCAGUGAAUAGGCCCAAGCGACUGUUUAUCAAAAACACAGGUCUCUGCUAAACCGUAAGGUGAUGUAUAGGGGCUGACGCCUGCCCGGUGCUGGAAGGUUAAGAGGAGUGGUUAGCUUCUGCGAAGCUACGAAUCGAAGCCCCAGUAAACGGCGGCCGUAACUAUAACGGUCCUAAGGUAGCGAAAUUCCUUGUCGGGUAAGUUCCGACCCGCACGAAAGGCGUAACGAUUUGGGCACUGUCUCAACGAGAGACUCGGUGAAAUCAUAGUACCUGUGAAGAUGCAGGUUACCCGCGACAGGACGGAAAGACCCCGUGGAGCUUUACUGUAGCCUGAUAUUGAAAUUUGGCACAGCUUGUACAGGAUAGGUAGGAGCCUUUGAAACGUGAGCGCUAGCUUACGUGGAGGCGCUGGUGGGAUACUACCCUGGCUGUGUUGACUUUCUAACCCGCACCAUUUGAUCAUGGUGGGAGACAGUGUCAGGCGGGCAGUUUGACUGGGGCGGUCGCCUCCUAAAGAGUAACGGAGGCGCUCAAAGGUUCCCUCAGAAUGGUUGGAAAUCAUUCGCAGAGUGUAAAGGCACAAGGGAGCUUGACUGCGAGACCUACAAGUCGAGCAGGGUCGAAAGACGGACUUAGUGAUCCGGUGGUUCCGCAUGGAAGGGCCAUCGCUCAACGGAUAAAAGCUACCCCGGGGAUAACAGGCUUAUCUCCCCCAAGAGUUCACAUCGACGGGGAGGUUUGGCACCUCGAUGUCGGCUCAUCGCAUCCUGGGGCUGUAGUCGGUCCCAAGGGUUGGGCUGUUCGCCCAUUAAAGCGGUACGCGAGCUGGGUUCAGAACGUCGUGAGACAGUUCGGUCCCUAUCCGUCGUGGGCGUAGGAAAUUUGAGAGGAGCUGUCCUUAGUACGAGAGGACCGGGAUGGACAUACCUCUGGUGUACCAGUUGUCGCGCCAGCGGCAUAGCUGGGUAGCUAUGUAUGGACGGGAUAAGUGCUGAAAGCAUCUAAGCAUGAAGCCCCCCUCAAGAUGAGAUUUCCCAACUUCGGUUAUAAGAUCCCUCAAAGAUGAUGAGGUUAAUAGGUUCGGGGUGUAAGCGCAGUAAUGUGUGUAGCUGACGAAUACUAAUCGAUCGAAGACUUAAUCAA
rnacentral:rRNA from 1 species